GCAGCGCGCAGGCCCACAGGGAGGCCCCGCCCCGCCCCGCCCGGCCCGGCCUAGCCCGGGCGGGCUACCGCGCGAGAUCCGGGGACCGCCACUGCGCGCUCAGACUCGGAAGAUAUUUGCACUCACUUCCGGGGAGGGUCUGAAGAACGCAGACUAGAGUGGGCGGGUCCGGGAGGCGGGGCUUUCUGACCACGUGACGUGAGGACGCGGGGUCUCCCUCUCCGCUCUGGCGGUCAGAGUGGCCCCAAGCUGCGUAACCUCCUGCGACUAAGUGUGGCCCGCGACAUUUGACUGUGUCGGCCGCCACAUUCUCUUCGUCCUCCUGCUCCUCCCGCUUGAUGUCUCCGGGUCCCGGGGCGGCGCCGCGCCCGAGAUCUGCAACGGGCCGGAGUCAGGGGCCUGCGUUCGCAACGGCAAGCCACCCAGAAGCCCACCAAGAGCGGGACACCGGCCUCACGCCACACGCGGGCACCCGUUCCAGGCCCCGCGGACCAAAAGGCCUUCAGAAGAAAGUGCACCGAAAUGUCGUGGCCACUCAGGGGCGGAAAACUUUCCUAAAACGCUAAGGAGCUGUCCUCAAAAGAAACAGAAAUCGAUAAACUUGAAUAUAUCAAAAUUGAGAACUUCUCAUCACCAAGAAAAUAAGCGGCUGCGCCAAUGGACAGAAGACGCUGUCACGUACAAGCCAACAAAGGGCAAGUCCCCACGAUCCGCAAUAACUGCUACAAGUCAGUGCAGACGUGAUGGAGAAGCCUGAGGGGAGCAGGGAGGGCCCCCGGGAGCCUGCAAUCUGCAUCAUCGCGUCAGGAAAUGCGGAAAUGCUGCGGGUCUGAGUAUCGCUUGUGGGGGUGACCGCUUUGGAAAGCACUUUUUCCGCCUUAUCUGGAAAAGUCAGGCACGUGUGUGCCCAGCAACCCUCCAACCCAGAAUCACAGCCGCCACCAGGAGACACGCUCGGAAGGUUCGGGAAAGCACCCACGCGUGGGCCCAGGGUGGGGCAGGACCUAGUGUCCCGUGAGGCCAGGGCUGGUCCUUGCAUGGCAGCUGAGCGAGCAAUCGGGUGGGAAAGCCACCCAGUAGGACGACUCACAAAACCCCCAGGCCACAUGAAGAGACCUGUGGCCGAGGGCACACAGCUCCUUGAAACCACCACGUGGCCUGGGCUCUCCCGCAGCUGAACCGCAGGACUGGGGCAGUGCUUAAGAGACCAGCUUGGGGGCUCCCUCAGCACUGCUGCCACCAGGCCAGGGUGUCCUGGGCGCUGUGGGGGCUGAGCGGCAUCCCUGCCCCUGUAACAGCCGAAGAUGUCCCCAGACGCCACCCAGGUGUGGAGUGACAAAAUCUAGACACCCCGGAAGCACGAGUCAAGAGUCAGGCUGGUUCUGGGGCUGCAGGGUCCUCAGGCGGACAUGAGGGUUGUGUGGUGGGUUCAGGGGGCCUUGUCAAAUGCACGCAGCAUGUGGCACAGCGUAUUUUUCACCAGGUCGAUGGGGGCAGGGUGGGUGGAGUCCUGGAUCCUCUCCAGGCCUUGGUCUCACCAGCGACCCUGGGACAGGUCCCUGUGAGACCCAGGGCCCCAAACCCCAGUGGGCAUGCGCAAGCCUGCCACCGUUACUCCCUUGUGUGGAUAACCUCGUGCCAAGUGA